UACGUAGGGGGCUAGCGUUGUCCGGAUUUAUUGGGCGUAAGGAGCGUGUAGGCGGCCAGGUAGGUCUGGUGUGAAAACUCGAGGCUUAACCUCGAGAUGUCAUCGGAAACCAUCUGGCUAGAGUCCGGAAGAGGAGAGUGGAAUUCCUGGUGUAGCGGUGAAAUGCGCAGAUAUCAGGAGGAACACCUGUGGCGAAGGCGGCCCCCUGGUUGGAUACUGACGCUGAUACGCGAAAGCGUGGGGAGCAAACAGG
rnacentral:rRNA from 1 species